rnacentral:lncRNA from 1 species
CAGAUAUGUGGAAAGUAUUAGAAGAAAAAGGAGAUGGCUGCUUUAAGACAUCUCCAGACCAGGCAUAGUGGCUCACACCUGUAAUCCCAGCACUUUGGGAGGCAGAGGCAGACCGAUCACCUGAAGUCAGGAGUUUGAGACCAGCCUGGACAACAUGGUGAAACCGUGUCUCUACUAAAAAUACAAAAAAGUUAGCCAGGUGUGGUGGCGGGUGCCUGUAAUCCCAGCUACUCAGGAGGCUGAGGCAUGAGAAUCGCUUGAACCUGGGAGGUGGACUUGAGUGAGCUGAGAUCGUGCCGCUGCACUCCAGCCUGGGUGACAGAGCAAGACUCUGUCUCAAACAAAAACAAAAACAAAAACACAUCUCCAGUAUUACAUGUUUGCUAACUACAGAUUACUUCAGGUUCUUGCUCACCAUGGACCUCUGAAAUACUCUUACGAACUACUGAAGAACCUUUUCGAAGGAGAAAUACUGUCAUAUGGGGAUAAGCAAGAGUGGGAAAAUCAGCAUGCUCACUUUGGUUGUGGUGAGCUGAUCUGGGAUUGCCUUCUGAGGCUUAUUGAAAAGGGAACGAAAAAUGACAUAUUACCGUCUAUUCCCAACUUCAUCAUUUAUCUGCUUAAUUCUAACUAUGUUUUUCUUU